rnacentral:rRNA from 1 species
GGUUGUUGGAGACUACGACGUAGAUAGGCAGGGUGUGUAAGCGUAGCGAUACGUUGAGCUAACCUGUACUAAUUGCCCGUGAGGCUUAACCAU